UCCAUUGCUCAGUUGGUAGAGCACAAGGCUCUUAACCUUGUGAGUGGGUUCAAGUCCCAUGAUGGAG
rnacentral:tRNA from 1 species